rnacentral:lncRNA from 1 species
AGCUUGUUCAUCACCUUGAUUACUCCUCGUCCUCGAUAUCUGCUUGAAAUGAAGCACAUAUGAAGGCGAUCGGUGGCAAGGGUGGAUGAGCGUAGGUGAAUACGUAGGUUUCUGGGUGGAAAUCAGUGGCAAGGGUGGAUGAGCGUAGGUACCUGAAGGUGAUCAAUUCAUCUUCCGCUUGUAAUCAUCACAGAUAUCAUCGUCGUGAGCAUCUUUGGCGAAUUUAGGAAUGAAAUUGGGAAAGAAAGAAACAAAGUCAAUGCGCAAGAAAGCAAAAUCAUUCCGAUAGUUAAUUAGAUGUAUGACUCGAUUCCCGC